CGGCUGCAGUGAGGAAUAUUGCGCAAUGGGCGAAAGCCUGACGCAGCAACGCCGCGUGGGGGAUGAAGGCUCUUGGGUUGUAAACCCCUGUCGGGCAAGACGAAUGGUCCUUGGGCUAAUAUCCCAGGGAAUUGACGGUAUUGCCAGAGGAAGCCUCGGCUAACUACGUGCCAGCAGCCGCGGUAAUACGUAGGAGGCAAGUGUUGUUCGGAAUUAUUGGGCGUAAAGAGCAUGUAGGCGGCUUUGUAAGUCAGGGGUGAAAUCCCUCGGCUCAACCGAGGAAGUGCCUUUGAAACUACAGAGCUUGAGUAUGAGAGAGGAAAGCGGAAUUUCCAGUGUAGCGGUGAAAUGCGUAGAUAUUGGAAAGAACACCGGUGGCGAAGGCGGCUUUCUGGAUCAUUACUGACGCUGAGAUGCGAAAGCCAGGGGAGCGAACGGGAUUAGAUACCCUGGUAGUC
rnacentral:rRNA from 1 species